UACAGGAGGGCGCGAGCGUUGUCCGGAAUCACUGGGCGUAAAGGGCGCGUAGGUGGCCUCAUAAGGCCGCGGUGAAAGUCUGGGGCUCAACCCCGGAAUCGGCCGCGGCGACGUGUGAAGCUUGGGCACCGUAGAGGCAGAUGGAAUUCCGGGUGUAGCGGUGGAAUGCGUAGAGAUCCGGAAGAACGACCAGUGGCGGAAGGCGGUCUGCUGGGCGGUGGGACAGCAAUGUCCCGUGUGCCGAACACUGAGGCCGCGACAGCGUGGGGAGCAAACAGG
rnacentral:rRNA from 1 species